CCCUUCUCAUUUUCUGUGGUCUUUUGUGCACAGAAGAAAAAUUUAACCCUUUUCUUGGUCCAGUCUGUAGGCAAUGUUAGGAAUGUUGCCCUUUCUUCCUUGAUGAAAUAUACCAAACACACCUGCUAAGAAUUUGUUUUCUAUGUUUUCAGCAAAGUCUUUUGGUUAUAAUCCUGUCUAGAAUGUGCUACAUCCCAUAUUUAUUAUGAGAUAUUUUUUUUAUCAGUUUGUUCCGUAGCUGUGCCAAGCACAGAAACGUUCCAAUUACUCAAGCUGAUAAAAUAGUGGGAACCAGCAUCACGCCCUGAAACAUUAGUCUGUCCUCCAUAAACGAAGGUCCUGAAGCCUAAAGAAUGCAUGGACAGCGCAGCCUGUGGAGCGGCACAAGAACUCUGGAACAAUCCGAAUCUCAGCUUCUGAUUCCAGCUGCCGACCCGCUUUGGAAAACUACAUCAUGAUCCGGAGAGAUGAAGAAAAUUCCAGCAUGACAGAGCACCCUGGAGCUGACUGAAAAUGCUCAGAUCAAGCUGGAAAAUGGUCAAAAGUAAAACUGAGAGGAAUGACGUGGGAUAUUCCUUGAGCUGAAUUUUCCAUUUGUAAAUGAACAUUAUUCCAGAGAUUAAUGGCUCUCAAAUAUAUCGAGUUUUUCCAAAACAAUACAACUGCUGUUAAUUUGUAAUGGCUCUUUGUUUCAAUCCCAGUUUAAAUAAAGCAAACUGUAGCUCAAA